rnacentral:rRNA from 1 species
UACGUAGGUGGCAAGCGUUGUCCGGAAUUAUUGGGCGUAAAGCGCGCGCAGGCGGCCUUUUAAGUCUGAUGUGAAAGCCCACGGCUUAACCGUGGAAGGUCAUUGGAAACUGGAAGACUUGAGUACAGAAGAGGAAAGCGGAAUUCCACGUGUAGCGGUGAAAUGCGUAGAGAUGUGGAGGAACACCAGUGGCGAAGGCGGCUUUCUGGUCUGUAACUGACGCUGAGGCGCGAAAGCGUGGGGAGCAAACAGG